ACGGGGUGCAGCAGGCGCGAAAACUUUACAAUGCGAGCAAUCGUGAUAAGGAAACCCUGAGUGCCUGUCAAUGCAGGCUGUUCUGGUGUCUAACACACACCAGGAGAAAGGGCGGGGCAAGACCGGUGCCAGCCGCCGCGGUAAUACCGGCUGCUCGAGUGAUAGCCACUUUUACUGGGCUUAAAGCGUUCGUAGCUUGGUCGUUAGGUCUCUGGGGAAAUCUUUUGGCUCAACCAAAAGGCGUCCCAGGGAAACUGACGAUCUUGGAACCGGGAGAGGUAAGACGUGCUUCGGGGGUAGGAGUGAAAUCUUGUAAUCCCCGAGGGACGACCGAUGGCGAAGGCAUCUUACCAGAACGGCUUCGACAGUGAGGGACGAAAGCUGGGGGAGCAAACCGGAUUAGAUACCCGGGUAGUCCCAGCCGUAAACGAUGUGCGUUAGGUGUGUCAGUGACCACGAGUCGCUGAGGUGCCGAAGGGAAACCGUGAAACGCACCGCCUGGGAAGUACGGUCGCAAGGCUGAAACUUAAAGGAAUUGGCGGGGGAG
rnacentral:rRNA from 1 species